UACAGAGGUCUCAACCGUUGUUCGGAUUCAUUGGGCGUAAAGGGCGCGUAGGCGGCUGAACAAGUCAAAGGUGAAAUCCCUCGGCUCAACUGAGGAACUGCCUUUGAAACUGUUCGGCUUGAGGCCGGGAGGGGGUAGCGGAAUUCCCAGUGUAGCGGUGAAAUGCGUAGAUAUUGGGAGGAACACCAGUGGCGAAGGCGGCUACCUGGACCGGUUCUGACGCUGAGGCGCGAAAGCGUGGGUAGCAAACAGG
rnacentral:rRNA from 1 species